UUAGAUUUCAUCUAGGGUUCCCCCCCCUUCCCCUUCGGCCUUCUCCCACCAGUCCACCACCACCCGCGCCACCCUCACCCCAGCUGUGUGCCCCUCAGCCCCCUUGCCCGGCGACCAUGGCGUGGUGACGAAGAGGAGGCUCAGGUGGCGACGCUGCUGGCGAUUUCCCCCUCCCCUUCACCUUCCCCUACGGCCUUCUCCCACCAGUCCACCACCACCCGCGCCGCCCUCACCCCAGCUGUGUGCCCCUCAGCUCCCUUUCCCGGCGACCAUGGCGUGGCGACGAAGAGAAGGCUCAAGUGGCGGCGCUGCUGGCGAUUUCAAGUGCCAGUCGGAUCUCAAUCUCACCGACCUCCCCACGCCGCCUACCCUGCGCCUCGCGUCUCUCUCUGCCGACCUCCACAAAUGCUCUACCCCGCGUCACCCUACCAUAUUUCGUCGUCCCCAUCUUCAGCGCCCUAGCCGACCUCCUGAACCCUAGCUGGUCGUUCCGCCGCCACCCCAAUUUGGUGCCCAUCUUCAAUCGCGUCUGUUCUGUACAUUAGAGGACCGAGUUUAUGCUUGAUUUGACUUUACUCAAAUUUUCGUCAUUUGAAAAACUCAAGUCACAGUGAAGACUUGUCAACAUUUGAUGAAAAAAAUGAUGAAACUAGACCUGCUCGCAAGCUUGAGCUAAGAAACAGUACUUACAAGAGCCUGUUGUUGCUGUUUUAUUGGAGAUAGUGGGAAAGGAGUACAUUCUAUCAGCCACGAGUACAUAGUGUAUGGCUUGUUUUGGUUAGUCAUGCAAGAUGUUGAUUUAGCAUCAAGUCUAAUUUCGAGCAAGAAGCACAAAAGAAGUCGUAAGAGUACCCAUUCAAGUCAAAGUAUCAUGAGGUAGCUCAGCUUUACAAGGGCAAAGACUCGAGUUUUUUUUGGUUUGUGGUAGUUUUUUUGUCAUUCUUGUUUUCUUUUGACUUUAUAUAGAACUAUUGUACUUAGCAUUUUGAUUAUCUUCGGAUGAUAAUUUUAAUACAAUGUUUGGAUGAUUAAUUUUUUAUAUAAUAUAUGUUUUGAAUUGUA